UACGUAGGGAGCGAGCGUUGUCCGGAAUUACUGGGUGUAAAGGGAGCGUAGGCGGGAUAGCAAGUCAGAUGUGAAAACUAUGGGCUCAACCUGUAGAUUGCAUUUGAAACUGUUGUUCUUGAGUGAAGUAGAGGUAAGCGGAAUUCCUAGUGUAGCGGUGAAAUGCGUAGAUAUUAGGAGGAACAUCGGUGGCGAAGGCGGCUUACUGGGCUUUUACUGACGCUGAGGCUCGAAAGCGUGGGGAGCAAACAGG
rnacentral:rRNA from 2 species